rnacentral:tRNA from 1 species
AAAUAUGAAGCAAUAUAUGCACUUAGUUUCGACCUAAGAAUUUGAUUUAUAAAAUCCGUAUUUA